rnacentral:rRNA from 1 species
CCUACGGGAGGCAGCAGUGGGGGAUAUUGCACAAUGGGGGGAACCCUGAUGCAGCGACGCCGCGUGGGUGAAGAAGCGCCUCGGCGCGUAAAGCCCUGUCAGCAGGGAAGAAAAUGACGGUACCUGAAGAAGAAGCCCCGGCUAACUACGUGCCAGCAGCCGCGGUAAUACGUAGGGAGCAAGCGUUAUCCGGAUUUACUGGGUGUAAAGGGGGCGCAGACGGCGAUGCAAGCCAGGAGUGAAAGCCUGGGGCCCAACCCCGGGACUGCUCUUGGAACUGCGUGGCUGGAGUGCAGGAGGGGCAGGCGGAAUGCCUGGUGUAGCGGUGAAAUGCGUAGAUAUCAGGAGGAACACCGGUGGCGAAGGCGGCCUGCUGGACUGCAACUGACGUUGAGGCCCGAAAGCGUGGGGAGCAAACAGGAUUAGAUACCCGAGUAGUC